AUUGCUAAAUUCAUACCCUUUGCCCCGCCGCCACCCAAACAGAGUCCCCGCCGCGCCGCCGCCAUCACAAAUGGGGUUCUUCGACUUGAACAUACCCUACCGGGAAUCCGACCGCCAUGCCGUCGACAAACCCUCCCUGAGAGGCCGCCGCCUGAAGCUCGCUCUGAAAGCCAUGGAACUCGGCUACACCGGCGUCGCCUACAAUCGCAUCCUCACAGGCGUCAUGUCCGAAUCCGACCGCUGCUCCAUCGUUCUCUUCCCCAUCUCCACACUCACCCCCUCUUCCUCUUCCUUCUUCGCCUCCGUCAAGUUCCACCGCGACAUUCUACACGUCUCCGGUACAGCCCCCUUCCGCCAGUACACCCGCCUUACCGUCGUCGUCACUAAUUCCGCCCAGGCUUUGGCUCUUAAUUCCUGUAACCCCGUGCUGCGAAGCUAUGACAUCGUCGCCCUUAGGCCUACUAGACAAGAUGCAUUUGAUCAGGCUUGUCAAAAUUCGGAGGUUGAUAUGAUCUCUAUUGAUUUCUCGAAGAUGGACUCAUUCAGCUUCAGGCUAAAGCAGCCUAUUAUCAAAGCUGCAAUUAAGCGAGGGUUGUACUUUGAGAUCACAUACUCUGAUCUGAUUGGUGAUGCAGAAUCAAAACGAAAAAUGAUAUCCUAUUGCAAGCUUCUUGUUGAUUGGACUCGAGGGAAAAAUUUAAUUAUAUGUAGUGAUGCCUCUUCUGCCUCUGAACUUAGAGGGCCCCAAGAUGUAGCAAAUCUGUUCUUUUUGCUGGGACUCUCUAGAGAACGUGCUAAAGCAGCUAUCUCCUCAAACUGUAGAUCUCUCCUAGCUAAUGCAAUAAGGAAAAAACAUUUUUACAAAGAGGCUGUUAAAGUUGAAGAGAUACCAUCUGGUGGACAAUCCAAUACAUCAAAAUCUGUGUUUGAUGAUUGGCUCAAAUGGGAUCCUAUUUCUAGUGGCCAGGGCGAUGUGCUAUUGGAAGACAUGGAGAAGUCUUUUACUAUUUCGAAAACUGUAAAAGAAAAUGUGAAAACCAUCAACUUCACCUCAAAUUUGAAUGGCCUGCCUGCACAUGGUUUCCAGAUCAAAGAUCUGGUAUAUGCGAUUAAGACAUCUUUGGAGCCGUGUGAUGUGGAUAAACGUGCUCUUCCUGUCGUUGAGACUGAGGGGGGUGCUUCAGAUGAAAAGCUUGAAAAGCAUGUUGCUAACACUUUGCAUGAACAACACCACAGCCUGCUUAAAAAUGAAGACGGUCCUGGUAAUUUGAGUAAUGAACCUGAGGGGGUUAUUGAACUGCCUGAAGGUCAAACGUCACCAUCUGGUGCCACUAAUAUUUAUGCCAACUCUGACUGUCAAGAUUCAGAAGUUCAAUUGGGUUAUGUUCCGGAUGCAAAACUUGCGCUUCCACCUCUUCUAGGACGUGAUCAAGUUUCCGUUGAUGUUGCACAGGGAGAAUAUCAGAUUUCAGGUUUGGGAGAUUCGUCGCCGUUGUCUUUGCCCACUUUCAGUGUUAAUUCCGCAGAUUCUGAAGAAAUUAUGAAGACUUCAAAUGACUUGGAAAAAAAUACUGUUGCAUCUGAAACCCGAAUAAAAGAUCCCCCAUCCCCUGUCAAGCAAGGAAACUUUGUACAUAGUGGUGGACAAGUUCAUAUCACAAAGAGCAAUACGUUAGCUAUUGACAACCAUGUUACUGUAGAACUUUCCAAUCCCUUGAAUAAAUCUAGUUCCUCUAUCUUUCCAUUAGAUCCUGGUACGGACAAUCUAUUAGAAAUGGGUGCAUGUGCAAAUGAAGGUAACAGAAUGGAUGAAAUUCACAACAAAAAUGCCAUUGAAACUACGCAAGAGUAUCCCUUGGCAUCACCUCACAUCUCCUAUGAAGAUGGUUGUGGUGAAGGAGGACAGUGUAGUAAAAUUACUGAUAGUUCUAUUAAGUUUGGUCUUGGGUCGCCUCUAGAGGGGUCUUCAAAUAUGAUAACAAAUUUUGAUGAGCCAACAAAUGAUGACGUGAUGGUCGAGUUGAUGCCAAUAGAUUCAGUCCCUGAUUGUCAAGGCUUUGCUAAAUCUCGUGCAGGAAUAAAUAAAAGAAAAGGAAAGUCGCCUCAUCAACCUGUCUUGUUUCCAUUCAAGCGUUAUAUGAAAUCCAAGCCUUCCAAGAAGAAGCUCCGAAAGUAAAGACCAAGCUAUUUAUAUCGUUUAUGGCCCUUCAGACAACCAAAGGAUCAUUGAGUAUAUGCCCUGCUUCAUCAGGUUGGAAUAAACUGAAGAACUAUUCAUAUGAUGAUUUGAUUUUGAAGGAUCGGUCGGUAAAUUGAUCGCGCACGACUCUCCUCGGGUACUUUUACCAAUCUCAUUGCAGGUGUGUUUUCAAAGUAACUAUAAAUGUAUUUACUUAUGUGAGAUGGAUCAAGAUAUAAGUAGGUUUGAUUUAGGUAAGAAGAUUUAUAGAGGUAGUGGAAAGGCCACCGCCGGCCGACAAAGGCCGGCCUCCCCCACUUCUAGGGACCAUUGUGUUGGGUAUUAGACUUUAUUGAAAUAAAGUCCAGAUUCAGAUUCUGAGUCAAAUUGCUUCUCUUCCUCACCUGAGCUGAUUUUUGCAUUAUUGUAAUGCUGAAAUCAAUGAUUCAGUAACAUGAGAGAGACCAAAUGAUUAGUGUAAAGAGAUUGUGCAAUCACCUGCUUUUGCAAUAUUAAAUGUGUAUUAUGGCUCCUAAAGCCAAACA